rnacentral:rRNA from 1 species
UACGAAGGGGGCUAGCGUUGUUCGGAAUUACUGGGUGUAAAGCGCACGUAGGCGGAUAUUUAAGUUAGGGGUGAAAUCCCAGGGCUCAACCCUGGAACUGCCUCUAAUACUGGAUAUCUAGAGGUCGAGAGAGGCGAGUGGAAUUCCGAGUGUAGAGGUGAAAUUCGUAGAUAUUCGGAGGAACACCAGUGGCGAAGGCGGCUCACUGGCCCGAUACUGACGCUGAGGCGCGAAAGCGUGGGGAGAAAAAA